rnacentral:rRNA from 1 species
CUGCUAAUACCGCAUAAGCGCACGGUACUGCAUGGUACAGUGUGAAAAACUCCGGCGGUAUGAGAUGGACCCGCGUUGGAUUAGCUAGUUGGCAGGGUAACGGCCUACCAAGGCGACGAUCCAUAGCCGGCCUGAGAGGGUGGACGGCCACAUUGGGACUGAGACACGGCCCAGACUCCUACGGGAGGCAGCAGUGGGGAAUAUUGCACAAUGGGGGAAACCCUGAUGCAGCGACGCCGCGUGAGCGAAGAAGUAUUUCGGUAUGUAAAGCUCUAUCAGCAGGGAAGAAAAUGACGGUACCUGACUAAGAAGCCCCGGCUAACUACGUGCCAGCAGCCGCGGUAAUACGUAGGGGGCAAGCGUUAUCCGGAUUUACUGGGUGUAAAGGGAGCGUAGACGGAAUGGCAAGUCUGAUGUGAAAGGCCGGGGCUCAACCCCGGGACUGCAUUGGAAACUGUCAAUCUAGAGUACCGGAGGGGUAAGUGGAAUUCCUAGUGUAGCGGUGAAAUGCGUAGAUAUUAGGAGGAACACCAGUGGCGAAGGC